GACGAACGCUGGCGGCGUGCUUAACACAUGCAAGUCGAACGGAAAGGCCCUGCUUUUGUGGGGUGCUCGAGUGGCGAACGGGUGAGUAACACGUGAGUAGCCUGCCCUUGACUUUGGGAUAACUUCAGGAAACUGGGGCUAAUACCGGAUAGGAGCUCCUGCUGCAUGGUGGGGGUUGGAAAGUUUCGGCGGUUGGGGAUGGACUCGCGGCUUAUCAGCUUGUUGGUGGGGUAGUGGCUUACCAAGGCUUUGACGGGUAGCCGGCCUGAGAGGGUGAUCGGCCACAUUGGGACUGAGAUACGGCCCAGACUCCUACGGGAGGCAGCAGUGGGGAAUAUUGCACAAUGGGCGGAAGCCUGAUGCAGCAACGCCGCGUGCGGGAUGACGGCCUUCGGGUUGUAAACCGCUUUCGCCUGUGACGAAGCGUGAGUGACGGUAAUGGGUAAAGAAGCACCGGCUAACUACGUG
rnacentral:rRNA from 1 species